GAUGAACGCUGGCGGCGUGCCUAAUACAUGCAAGUCGAGCGAACAGACGAGGAGCUUGCUCCUCUGACUUUAGCGGCGGACGGGUGAGUAACACGUGGAUAACCUACCUAUAAGACUGGGAUAACUUCGGGAAACCGGAGCUAAUACCGGAUAAUAUAUUGAACCGCAUGGUUCAAUAGUGAAAGACGGUUUUGCUUUCACUUAUAAAUGGAUCCGCGCCGCAUUAGCUAGUUGGUAAGGUAACGGCUUACCAAGGCAACGAUGCGUAGCCGACCUGAGAGGGUGAUCGGCCACACUGGAACUGAGACACGGUCCAGACUCCUACGGGAGGCAGCAGUAGGGAAUCUUCCGCAAUGGGCGAAAGCCUGACGGAGCAACGCCGCGUGAGUGAUGAAGGUCUUCGGAUCGUAAAACUCUGUUAUUAGGGAAGAACAAAUGUGUAAGUAACUAUGCACGUCUUGACGGUACCUAAUCAGAAAGCCACGGCUAACUACGUG
rnacentral:rRNA from 1 species